AAAGCAUGGGUAGCGAAGAGGAUUAGAUACCCUCGUAGUCCAUGCCGUAAACGAUGUGUGUUAGACGUUGGAAAUUUAUUUUCAGUGUCGCAGCGAAAGCGAUAAACACACCGCCUGGGGAGUACGACCGCAAGGUUAAAACUCAAAUGAAUUGACGGGGACCCGCACAAGUAGUGGAGCAUGUGGUUUAAUUCGAAGAUACGCGCAGAACCUUACCAACACUUGACAUGUUCGUCGCGACUCUAAGAGAUUAGAGUUUUCGGUUCGGCCGGACGAAACACAGGUGCUGCAUGGCUGUCGUCAGCUCGUGUCGUGAGAUGUUGGGUUAAGUCCCGCAACGAGCGCAACCCUCACUUUUAGUUGCCAUCAUUUAGUUGGGCACUCUGAAAGAACUGCCAGUGAUAAGCUGGAGGAAGGUGGGGAUGACGUCAAGUCCUCAUGGCCCUUACGUGUUGGGCUACACACGUGCUACAAUGGUAUCUACAACAGGAAGCAAGACUGCGAGGUCAAGCAAAUCCUUAAAAGAUACCUCAGUUCGGAUUGCACUCUGCAACUCGAGUGCAUGAAGCUGGAAUUACUAGUAAUCGUGGAUCAGCGUGCCACGGUGAAUGCGUUCCCGGGUCUUGUACACACCGCCCGUCACACCAUGGGAGUUGGUUCUACCUUAAGGCAAGGUUUAAUACCCUUGACCACGGUAUAGUCAGCGACUGGGGUGAAGUCGUAACAAGGUAGCCGUAGGGGAACCUGCGGCUG
rnacentral:rRNA from 1 species